AAAAAAUCAUGGCAAUGAUUGAUUCUGGGAAUGUUGAGCCUGCUGAGUUGUUGGCGAACAUGGACAAUCAGAUAUCAAUAUCCAAAGAAGAAGCUCUUAGCAGAAAAGAUAUUUUGGACAAGGUUGAGAAAUGGAUGUCAGCAUGUGAGGAAGAGAGUUGGCUUGAGGAUUACAAUCGGGAUGAAAAUAGGUACAAUGCCAGCAGAGGUGCACACUUAAACCUCAAGCGUGCAGAGAAAGCCCGGAUUUUGGUAAACAAAAUUCCAGCACUGGUGGACAC
rnacentral:misc_RNA from 1 species